GGUCUGUGAAGUCGCACGGUCGUUGUGAAGUGUCGCGGUUACAUUUUCUGAACGCUGUUCAUCAUCGACAAGUCUUCAGUUCUUUGAUGCAGAGUCGUCCUUCAUCAACCACAAGCGAUGACGGGGUGCUGCGUGCCGCUUUGCACCGGAGGCACCUAUAAAGGAAAUAGGGUGUUUCGCUUCCCACGAGAGAAAAAUCGCCGGAAGAUAUGGGAGCUGCAAGUGAAGCGCGACUGUUGGGAGGCCACAGACGCCAGCCGGAUAUGCGAACUGCACUUUGAGUCAUCGCAGUUCGAACAACGUCGAGCGGAUGGCUGGAGAAAGUUAAAGUACAGUGCCGUUCCCACGCUCUUUCCAGGCGACACAAAGGCAUCCAAGCAGCAAACACAACAGGAGAUGCGCUCGAAACGGCAAGGAAAGCGGCACAAAGUCAACAGUGAGGAACCAGGCACAGAUGACAAUUGACGAGGCCAACUGCAAACCAGAGGCUCUUGCGUCCUUCUGCGAAGUCAUCCUCACGUACGAGAACUACAGCAGUGACACGGGCCCCACUACUGUCACCAUUCACCAAAUACCCGAAG
rnacentral:misc_RNA from 1 species